rnacentral:rRNA from 1 species
UACGUAGGGUGCAAGCGUUGUCCGGAUUUAUUGGGCGUAAAGAGCUCGUAGGCGGUCUGUCGCGUCGGAUGUGAAAUCCCAGGGCUCAACCCUGGGCCUGCAUUCGAUACGGGCAGACUAGAGUAUGGCAGGGGAGACUGGAAUUCCUGGUGUAGCGGUGAAAUGCGCAGAUAUCAGGAGGAACACCGGUGGCGAAGGCGGGUCUCUGGGCCAAAGCUGACGCUGAGGAGCGAAAGCGUGGGGAGCGAACAGG